rnacentral:rRNA from 1 species
GAUGAACGCUGGCGGCGUGCUUAACACAUGCAAGUCGAACGAAGCACCUUGAUUCGAUUCUUCGGAUGAAGAUCUUGGUGACUGAGUGGCGGACGGGUGAGUAACGCGUGGGUAACCUGCCUCAUACAGGGGGAUAACAGUUAGAAAUGACUGCUAAUACCGCAUAAGACCACCGCACCGCAUGGUGCAGGGGUAAAAACUCCGGUGGUAUGAGAUGGACCCGCGUCUGAUUAGGUAGUUGGUGGGGUAACGGCCUACCAAGCCGACGAUCAGUAGCCGACCUGAGAGGGUGACCGGCCACAUUGGGACUGAGACACGGCCCAAACUCCUACGGGAGGCAGCAGUGGGGAAUAUUGCACAAUGGGGGAAACCCUGAUGCAGCGACGCCGCGUGAGCGAUGAAGUAUUUCGGUAUGUAAAGCUCUAUCAGCAGGGAAGAAAAUGACGGUACCUGACGAAGAAGCACCGGCUAAAUACGUG